GAUGAAGAACGCAGCGAAAUGCGAUACUUGGUGUGAAUUGCAGAAUCCCGUGAACCAUCGAGUCUUUGAACGCAAGUUGCGCCCGAAGCCAUUAGGCCGAGGGCACGCCUGCUUGGGCGUCGCACGUCGUUGCCCCCCCAUCUACUCCUUCGGGAUUGCGGGGGGCGGAUGAUGGCUUCCCGUGCGCCUCGUCGCGCGGUUGGCAUAAAUGCCAAGUCCUCGGCGACGCACGCCACGACAAUCGGUGGUUGCGAAACCUCGGUUGCCCGUCGUGUGCGGUCGUCGCGCAUCGAGGGCUCGAAAAAAUUGCCGGGCUCCGGCUCGGCUUUCAACGCGACCCCAGGUCAGGCGGGGUUACCCGCUGAAUUUAAGCAUAUCAAUAAGCGGAGGA
rnacentral:misc_RNA from 1 species